rnacentral:rRNA from 1 species
UAAGGGCGCACGGUGGAUGCCUUGGCACUAGAAGCCGAUGAAGGACGUUACUAACGACGAUAUGCUUUGGGGAGCUGUAAGUAAGCUUUGAUCCAGAGAUUUCCGAAUGGGGAAACCCAGCAUGAGUUAUGUCAUGUUAUCGAUAUGUGAAUACAUAGCAUAUCAGAAGGCACACCCGGAGAACUGAAACAUCUUAGUACCCGGAGGAAGAGAAAGAAAAUUCGAUUCCCUUAGUAGCGGCGAGCGAAACGGGAAGAGCCCAAACCAACAAGCUUGCUUGUUGGGGUUGUAGGACACUCUAUACGGAGUUACAAAGGACGACAUUAGACGAAUCAUCUGGAAAGAUGAAUCAAAGAAGGUAAUAAUCCUGUAGUCGAAAAUGUUGUCUCUCUUGAGUGGAUCCUGAGUACGACGGAGCACGUGAAAUUCCGUCGGAAUCUGGGAGGACCAUCUCCUAAGGCUAAAUACUCUCUAGUGACCGAUAGUGAACCAGUACCGUGAGGGAAAGGUGAAAAGCACCCCGGAAGGGGAGUGAAAUAGAACCUGAAACCGUGUGCUUACAAGUAGUCAGAGCC